rnacentral:rRNA from 1 species
AUUUAACGCUGGCGGCAGGCCUAACACAUGCAAGUCGAACGAGUUGCGGACGGGUGCGUAAUGUCUGGGAAACUGCCUGAUGGAGGGGGAUAACUACUGGAAACGGUAGCUAAUCCCGCAUCCCAUCGGAUGUGCCCCGAUGGGAUUCGCUAGUAGGUGGGGUAAAGGCUCACCUAGGCGACGAUCCCUAGCUGGUCUGAGAGGAUGACCAGCCACUCUGGGACUGAUACAGGAUCAAGACUCCGACGGGAGGCAGCAGUGGGGAAUAGUGCGGAAAGGGCGCAAGCGUGAUGCAGCCAGGCGGAGUGUAAGAAGAAGGGCUUCGGGUGGUAAAGUACGUCCGGCGGAGAGGCGGGACCCGCAGAAGAAGCACGGGCUAACUCAGUGACAGCAGCCGCGGUAAUAC